GACGAACGCUGGCGGCGUGCCUAAUACAUGCAAGUAGAACGCACAGUUUAUACCGUAGCUUGCUACACCAUAGACUGUGAGUUGCGAACGGGAGAGUAACGCGUAGGUAACCUGCCUGGGAGCGGGUGAUAACUACUGGAAACGAUAGCUAAUAUCGCUUAAUAUUGAUUAUUGCAUGAUAAUAGAUUGAAAGAUGCUAUUGCAUCACUACAAGCUGGCCCUACGUUGUAUUAGCUAGUAGGUGAGGUAACGGCUCACCCAGGCAACGAUACAUAGCCGACCUGAGAGGGUGAUCGGCCACACUGGAACUGAGACACGGCCCAGACUCCUACGGGAGGCAGCAGUAGGGAAUCUUCGGCAAUGGGCGAAAGUCUGACCGAGCAACGCCGCGUGAGUGAAGAAGGUUUUCGGAUCGUAAAACUCUGUUAUAAGGGAAGAACGUGUGUGAGAGUGGAAAGUUCACUCUGGGCCGGUAUCUUACCAGAAAGGAACGGCUAACUACGU
rnacentral:rRNA from 1 species